UUUUCUCUUAAUGAAUCAGCUAAUUAUUAGUGCAGAGGAAUGGCACUUAAUUACGGCUCGCAGCUACCAAGUGUCAGCAGCAAUCCCAGUUACAAUAUUCGCUCAUUUGUUGGUGAUUGCAGUGACAAUCCUUGUGCUUGUUUGGCUCCUCCACUUCGAAAAAGGCCUCGCUUUUCAAUCUCAUCACAACAAGCACAAGAUGAUCAAUAUGCAUACACUUCUAAUGAUACUUGGACCUGUUUUAGCUGGAGGAGAAGCUAUCAUGGCAUACCAGCUGACAGUACAGGCCAAAAGAAGGACCCAGAAAGCUUUUCCAUUCAAUAUUGCAUUUCACUGAUCUUGUGCUUGGAAUUAUGGGAAUUUAUGUGAUUUUCAAACUUCACAAUGAUAUAAGAAGUCGAAACAUGUACACCUUACAUUCCUGGUUGGGCAUGAUAGCCAUCUCUUCAUUUGGUUUACAGUGGCUGUUUGGCUUCUUCACCUAUUGCUUCCCGGGUGCAGCGAAGGCAGCAAGAGCUGCACUUGUACCGUGGCACGCAUUCAUUGGCAUGGCCAUCUUCCUCUUGACAAUAUGCACCACUGAGACAGGGUUGGUUGAAAUAUUCAUACACUUGGGCUUAGUGCACAGUCAAGAAGCUCUUUUAGUAAACUUCAUUGGCCUCUUGAUUUUUCUGUUUGCAGUCAGCGUUAGCCUCACCCUACUC